GGCGUCAUAGCUCAGUUGGGAGAGCAGCAGACUGAAGUGAAAGGAGUCGAUGGGAUUUAUCUGAAGGUCCCGUGUUCAAGCCACGGUGAUGCCA